CCUACGGGUGGCUGCAGUGGGGAAUAUUGGACAAUGGGCGAAAGCCUGAUCCAGCCAUGCCGCGUGUGUGCAGAAGGCCUUCGGGUUGUAAAGCACUUUCAGUGGGGAAGAAAGCCUUGGGGCUAAUACCCUCGAGGAAGGACAUCACCCACAGAAGAAGCACCGGCUAACUCCGUGCCAGCAGCCGCGGUAAUACGGAGGGUGCGAGCGUUAAUCGGAAUUACUGGGCGUAAAGCGCGCGUAGGCGGUCUGAUAAGCCGGUUGUGAAAGCCCCGGGCUCAACCUGGGAACGGCAUCCGGAACUGUCAGGCUAGAGUGCAGGAGAGGAAGGUAGAAUUCCCGGUGUAGCGGUGAAAUGCGUAGAGAUCGGGAGGAAUACCAGUGGCGAAGGCGGCCUUCUGGACUGACACUGACGCUGAGGUGCGAAAGCGUGGGUAGCAAACAGGAUUAGAUACCCUAGUAGUC
rnacentral:rRNA from 1 species